rnacentral:rRNA from 1 species
CAGUCGCCGCGGUAAUGCGAAGGGGGCUAGCGUUGCUCGGAAUGACUGGGCGUAAAGGGCGCGUAGGCGGUUUUGACAGUCAGAUGUGAAAUUCCUGGGCUUAACCCGGGGGCUGCAUUUGAGACGUCAAGACUAGAGUGUGAGAGAGGGUUGUGGAAUUCCCAGUGUAGAGGUGAAAUUCGUAGAUAUUGGGAAGAACACCGGUGGCGAAGGCGGCAACCUGGCUCAUUACUGACGCUGAGGCGCGAAAGCGUGGGGAGCAAACAGGAUUAGAUACCCCGAGUAGUCCCUGUCUCUUAUA